GUGCCAGCAGCCGCGGUAAUACCGGCAGCCCGAGUGAUGGCCGAUCUUAUUGGGCCUAAAGCGUCCGUAGCUGGCCGCGCAAGUUCGUCGGGAAAUCCACUCGCUCAACGAGUGGGCGUCCGGCGAAAACUGCGCGGCUUGGGACCGGAAGACUCAAGGGGUACGUCCGGGGUAGGAGUGAAAUCCCGUAAUCCUGGACGGACCACCGAUGGCGAAAGCACCUCGGAAGGACGGAUCCGACAGUGAGGGACGAAAGCUAGGGUCUCGAACCGGAUUAGAAACCCGUGUAGUCC
rnacentral:rRNA from 1 species